UACACCUUCGUCUAAGGGUUAGGACAUUACUCUUUCAAAGUAACGAUAUGAGUUCGAAUCUCAUAGGUGUGA
rnacentral:tRNA from 1 species